AUUGAACGCUGGCGGCAGGCCUAACACAUGCAAGUCGAGCGGAGCGACCGACGGGUGAGUAAUGCAUAGGAAUCUGCCUGGCAGUGGGGGAGAGCGUACGGAAACGGGCGCUAAUACCGCCUACUAUCCGUCGGGCCUGGGUCGGAUUAGCUAGUUGGUGGGGUAAAGGCCUACAAAGGCGACGAUCCGUCCCUGGUCUGAGAGGAUGAACAGCCACACUGGAACUGAGACACGGUCCAGACUCCUACGGGAGGCAGCAGUGGGGAAUAUUGCACAAUGGGCGCAAGCCUGAUGCAGCCAUGCCGCGUGUGUGAAGAAGGUCUUCGGGUUGUAAAGCACUUUCAGUGGGGAGGCGUUACCCGCAGAAGAAGCACCGGCUAACUCCGUGCCAGCAGCCGCGGUAAUUC
rnacentral:rRNA from 1 species